rnacentral:rRNA from 1 species
UACGUAGGGUGCAAGCGUUAAUCGGAAUUACUGGGCGUAAAGCGUGCGCAGGCGGUUUUGUAAGACCGAUGUGAAAUCCCCGGGCUCAACCUGGGAGCUGCAUUGGUGACUGCAAGGCUUGAGUGUGUCAGAGGGAGGUGGAAUUCCGCGUGUAGCAGUGAAAUGCGUAGAUAUGCGGAGGAACACCGAUGGCGAAGGCAGCCUCCUGGGAUAACACUGACGCUCAUGCACGAAAGCGUGGGGAGCAAACAGG